rnacentral:rRNA from 1 species
CGGGCGACGGUUGUCCCGGUUUAAGCAUGUAGGCUGAUUGUCCAGGCAAAUCCGGAUAAUCAAGGCUGAGGUGUGAUGACGAGGCACUACGGUGCUGAAGUAACAAAUGCCCUGCUUCCAGGAAAAGCCUCUAAGCAUCAGGUAACAUUAAAUCGUACCCCAAACCGACACAGGUGGUCAGGUAGAGAAUACCAAGGCGCUUGAGAGAACUCGGGUGAAGGAACUAGGCAAAAUGGUGCCGUAACUUCGGGAGAAGGCACGCUGGUGUGUAGGUGAAGUCCCUGCGGAUGGAGCUGAGACCAGUCGAAGAUACCAGCUGGCUGCAACUGUUUAUUAAAAACACAGCACUGUGCAAACACGAAAGUGGACGUAUACGGUGUGACGCCUGCCCGGUGCCGGAAGGUUAAUUGAUGGGGUUAUCCGUAAGGAGAAGCUCUUGAUCGAAGCCCCGGUAAACGGCGGCCGUAACUAUAACGGUCCUAAGGUAGCGAAAUUCCUUGUCGGGUAAGUUCCGACCUGCACGAAUGGCGUAAUGAUGGCCAGGCUGUCUCCACCCGAGACUCAGUGAAAUUGAACUCGCUGUGAAGAUGCAGUGUACCCGCGGCAAGACGGAAAGACCCCGUGAACCUUUACUAUAGCUUGACACUGAACAUUGAGCCUUGAUGUGUAGGAUAGGUGGGAGGCUUUGAAGCGUGGACGCCAGUCUGCGUGGAGCCAACCUUGAAAUACCACCCUUUAAUGUUUGAUGUUCUAACGUUGGCCCCUGACCGGGGUUGCGGACAGUGUCUGGUGGGUAGUUUGACUGGGGCGGUCUCCUCCCAAAGCGUAACGGAGGAGCACGAAGGUUAGCUAAUCCUGGUCGGACAUCAGGAGGUUAGUGCAAUGGCAUAAGCUAGCUUGACUGCGAGCGUGACGGCGCGAGCAGGUGCGAAAGCAGGUCAUAGUGAUCCGGUGGUUCUGAAUGGAAGGGCCAUCGCUCAACGGAUAAAAGGUACUCCGGGGAUAACAGGCUGAUACCGCCCAAGAGUUCAUAUCGACGGCGGUGUUUGGCACCUCGAUGUCGGCUCAUCACAUCCUGGGGCUGAAGUAGGUCCCAAGGGUAUGGCUGUUCGCCAUUUAAAGUGGUACGCGAGCUGGGUUUAGAACGUCGUGAGACAGUUCGGUCCCUAUCUGCCGUGGGCGCUGGAGAAUUGAGGGGGGCUGCUCCUAGUACGAGAGGACCGGAGUGGACGCAUCACUGGUGUUCGGGUUGUCAUGCCAAUGGCACUGCCCGGUAGCUAAAUGCGGAAGAGAUAAGUGCUGAAAGCAUCUAAGCACGAAACUUGCCCCGAGAUGAGUUCUCCCUGAGACUUUAAGUCUCCUGAAGGAACGUUAAAGACGAUGACGUUGAUAGGCCGGGUGUGUAAGCGCAGCGAUGCGUUGAGCUAACCGGUACUAAUGAACCGUGAGGCUUAACCUU